CCAAGAGUGCUGGAGACUGAAGUCCUUUCUUUAUUUGCAGAACAAGUACAGUUUGGGCAGCACGAGUGCAGUCUUUCUCGCACUGCCCUGCUGAUGUGUCUCAUCCCUGACUAGAAGGAACCACCUUAAGGGGUGUGAGAAUUAGUCCCCUUCAGUGCUUGAGUGGACUCCAGU
rnacentral:sRNA from 1 species